CUCUACUAUAUCAUUGUGUGCUAAUUUUGCGAGUUUUCAUCCUUAUGUUUGGUAUCUGCGAUUUAUCCAUGUUUAGAUGCUUCCUUGUUAUGCUUGGUAGCUCCUGAAAUAGAUAAUAGCACUUAGUUUCUUGAGACUCCACUACUUCAUUGACCAAUGAAUCUGCCACGCAGUUUCCUUCUCUGAAAAUGUGAGUGAUUGAUGCAUUUAUACUUCGUAUCACCCUUCUAAUCUCCUC
rnacentral:lncRNA from 1 species